UACGGGGGGUGCAAGCGUUGCUCGGAAUUAUUGGGCGUAAAGGGUAGGUAGGUGGUCUCAUUUGUCUGGGGUGAAAGCCUUGAGCUUAACUCAAGAAGUGCCCCAGAAACGGUGAGACUAGAGUCUUGGAGAGGGUCGUGGAAUUCCCGGUGUAGCGGUGAAAUGCGUAGAGAUGUGGAGGAACACCAGUGGCGAAGGCGACUCUUUGGCCUGUAACUGACGCUGAGGCGCGAAAGCGUGGGGAGCAAACAGG
rnacentral:rRNA from 1 species